rnacentral:rRNA from 1 species
CCUACGGGAGGCAGCAGUAAGGAAUAUUGGUCAAUGGAGGCAACUCUGAACCAGCCAUGCCGCGUGCAGGAAGACAGCCCUCUGGGUCGUAAACUGCUUUUAUUCGGGAAUAAACCUCAUUAUGUAUAGUGAGCUGAAUGUACCGAAGGAAUAAGGAUCGGCUAACUCCGUGCCAGCAGUCGCGGUAAUACGGAGGAUCCAAGCGUUAUCCGGAUUUAUUGGGUUUAAAGGGUGCGUAGGCGGCUUUUUAAGUCAGGGGUGAAAGACGGUAGCUCAACUAUCGCAGUGCCCUUGAUACUGAAGAGCUUGAAUGGACUAGAGGUAGGCGGAAUGUGACAAGUAGCGGUGAAAUGCAUAGAUAUGUCACAGAACACCGAUUGCGAAGGCAGCUUACUAUGGUUUUAUUGACGCUGAGGCACGAAAGCGUGGGGAUCAAACAGGAUUAGAUACCCUGGUAGUCCACGCCCUAAACGAUGAAUACUCGCUGUUAGCGAUACACAGUUAGCGGCUAAGCGAAAGCGUUAAGUAUUCCACCUGGGGAGUACGGUCGCAAGAUAGAACGUUAAAGAUUGACGNGNGAGAGNGCGAGACGACGACGAGGGAGGAGG